ACUUUCUAAAGACGUUGAGGGGUACACUUCAGGGGUACACCCGGCUGCACACCAGCUGUUUGGCGCCUCACUGCUGUGUGCCCAAAUGUAGUCCUACGUCCUCAAAGAGAAACAAAUCCUACCGUGGACAGACUUUCCACCGUUUCGCCAAAGAGCAGGCACUUCGGCGUGAAUGAAUUAAUCACAUCAAGAGGGAUCCUCGUCCAUAUUUCAAGAUCAACGCUGAGACCGAGGUUUGAUCUGAGCACGUUGAGAAGCAAUGCUUUGUUAAGGUCACCCGUGGUAUGACAACGCUAAUAAAGGAUGCUGUGCCUGCCAACUUUGUUCGCCUGGACUUCAGAGAAGCCAAAGAGGAGAAUCAUCAUUCGCAUACCGUGUAUGGAUUCCAUGGAGUAUUCCAUCGAGUAUUUCUUCUGUUUCAAUCGUCUUGGUGAAGUUUUUGAGCUGGAUCUGGAUUCUGCUGAGGAUUCGUCGACUACUAGAUGGCGAGCCACCCACUCAUUCGAAUGUGAUCCUGUUCUACAUUGCGCAUGGCAUAUUUGGUAGGAUUGUGGCCUGCUCGUGUCACAUCACUGACUAUGAC